rnacentral:lncRNA from 1 species
CCCCACCAGUCUAGUACAUAACUCAACUCUCUCCCUGACCCCCACCAGUCUAGUACAUAACUCUACUCUCUCCCUGACCCCCACCAGUCUAGUACAUAACUCAACUCUCUCCCUGACCCCCACAUGUAUUUCUACACACCCCAUUUAGCCAUACCCCUAGUUUAGCUGUAUUUCUACACACCCCAUUUAGCCAUACCCUAGGUUUAGCUGUAUUUAUACACACCCCAUUUAGCCAUACCCUAGGUUUAGAUGUAUUUAUACACACCCUAUUUAGCCAUACCCUAGGUUUAGCAGUAUUUCUACAGCCCCAAACAUCAUAAUGUGGCUAUGGGACAGAAGAGCAGAGGGGAGAUGGAGAGAGAGGGAGAUGUCAACAGAGAUAGGUCUGACAGACUAACAUGCAGUUAACUCAAUAUCUUUUCAUUACUGACUUCUCACCAGUGAUGUCAUCAUAACCAGUAACCUUUUCAA